CCUACGGGAGGCAGCAGUGAGGAAUAUUGGUCAAUGGUCGGGAGACUGAACCAGCCAAGCCGCGUGAGGGAUGAAGGUACAGAGUAUCGUAAACCUCUUUUGUCAGGGAACAAAGGCGGGGACGUGUCCCCGGAUGAGUGUACCUGAAGAAAAAGCAUCGGCUAACUCCGUGCCAGCAGCCGCGGUAAUACGGGGGAUGGGAGCGUUAUCCGGAUUUAUGGGGUUUAAAGGGUGCGCAGGCGGUCUGUUAAGUCAGAGGUCAAAGCCCGGGGCUCAACCCCGGCCCGCCGUUGAAACUGGCAGUCUCGAGUUGGAGAGAAGUAUGCGGAAUGCGCGGUGUAGCGGUGAAAUGCAUAGAUAUCGCGCAGAACUCCGAUUGCGAAGGCAGCAUGCCGGCUCCACACUGACGCUGAGGCACGAAAGCGUGGGUAUCGAACAGGAUUAGAUACCCGAGUAGUC
rnacentral:rRNA from 1 species